UUAAAGGCGUGUGCUGCUGCUGCCGCCGCCCGGCCCCUCUUUGUCUUCUUAGCCAGACCUUGUGUCCUUCCUGGUCUCUGAGAGGAUACCAGCAGCUGAGGACUUCCAACCCCUCCCCCCCCUUUCCAGGGACACUGACCUGCAGUGACCUCCCCAGGGCCUAGGCAGCAAGCACUUAGCUGCCAGGCUUCAAGCUAGGCUCUUCCAGGCAGAGGAAAGGAGUCCUGGUCCAAGAGUGGAUGCCCCCUGACCUGCCACCACUCGCUGGGGUUCUCCUAAAGGCCUCUUGGAGUGGCUUAACAGAAACAGCCACCUCAAAAGCCCACCUGCUACCAGGCAAGGCCCACUUUCCUCUACAAACGGCUUUCAGGGAGGCCUGGAUCACGUUUGAAAACCCGUAAGCAGGAGGAGGCUUAGUAGGCUGUGUACUGAAAUUCCUCAGUGGUUACAUCAAUUACACACCGCCUUGAAAUCUGAAAACCGAUUAGUUCAUUUAUGACAUCGCUGAAACAGCCCUUCAAAAAAAAAAAAAAAAAAAACUCAACCUAAAAAAUCCCCUUUAAGAGCCCGAACAAAAUCUACCCACCUGAGAUAAAUAUUUCUGGACAUCAAAGAAAGCCUGGAUAUGAUGCUCCCCCGCCCCUAGUAAGUGAUAGUAGCCACCAAGGCUUAAGAAGCCAAUUCUGACAAAUGAGGGGCAGUAGAUUCCAGGAGAGAUACACCUGCAGAAAGCUCUGGAAUUCCAGGACUAACCCCACCCUCAGGUCUUUAAAGACACCACAGAAGCGCCUUCCCUCGCUUUCUGCAUAGCUGGAGAGAGAACCCAGGGCCUCCUACAGGCUAAACCUAGGCUCUGGGGUUGAGCCGUCCUUGAUGUUGGAGAUCCACCAGUCUGGGUUUCUGAGGUUUUAUGCUGGAGACCAGACCAGGUUUGGAUUGGUAGCAAGUUCCUCUACCCAUCAGUCAUCUCUUCUGCUCAAGAAUUCGUUCAUCAAGACAAGUUUUUUUAAAUUUCAUUCUUCAAAAGUUCCAAGAGGAAGACCGGAAACGGCCACACAGGAAGUUGGAAGGGACUCACUGAAACACAGGCACAUGAUGUUUCAGGUAGCAAUAUGCAACUUCGGUGCCUGUCAAUAGUGACACUCCGGAAGCCAACCCUGCUGCAGCUCCAUUGGCUCUGCAGGCAGAAGCAAUCAAUAUAUGAUCUACGGCUGCACAGGAUGUCAGCAAUCCCGGCUUAGGAUUCUACUUCUUCCUGCCAGGAGUAGGCCAAGUUUUGUUAUAUUUUGUUUUGUUUUUCAAGACCGGGUUUCUCCGUCCUGGAAUUCAUUCUGUAGACCAGGCUGGCCUUGAACUCAGAGACCCUCCUGCCUCUGCCUCCCUGCCCCAUUACCACUGGGUGCAGGGGCAAGCCUUGAAGCCUGCAAGUGACUGCAGCAGUGAGUACACUUAGGGUUAGGGUCUCAUCGCCUUAGGCACUGGUGGAGAGUAACGCUCUGUCAGUGGCUAAUGUUUAUGUGGAGAACUAGCUUAUGAUAGAGCAAUUAACCCAUUAAUAAUCCACAACGAAGCAGUUGCCUUUGCUGGGAAAAAAAUGUUUUCAUUACCAACACAAAAACAAAACAAAAGUCAAACCACCCGGGAGCUGGGAGACAGCUGGUCAGUUAAGGUCUACUUGCAGAGGUCCUGAGUUUGGUUCCAGCACUCAGCCUCCAACUCCAGCUUCAGGGGCUCUGGCGCCCCCUUUUGAACUCCUCAAGCACUGCACUCAUGUGCACUGCCCCCCCCAUAUAUAAUUAAAAA